GGGAAAUAAUUCUACGUAAGUAUUAGAUGGAUCUGGUUUUUGUAAAACAAUUAAAGUAAUUACUUGACAAUUUGUUUGGUAUCUCCGAUCCUUUUCAAAUUUCCAUAUAUUGAAAAGCUUCUUAAAAGUUAAAUAUUAUUUUAAAAAAGUAUCACAAACAAUUCUAAUUAUACACAAAAUUUUGCCCAACACUGCCUACCAACAACAGCAGCAAUGAGAUUAUCAAAUUUUCUAAAUCCAUGACCUAAGUUCAUUUAUUACGGAUUGUCUGGCAACUUUCCGGUAAGCGUUGACCUGUGAAAACGAAAGUAUUUUUCCUACGAUCUUUGUGACUGCAUUUAAUUCAUCUACAAUAUUUCGUCACUUUCCAAUAUGUUAGUUCAUAUGUUCAUUAUCACACAUAUAAUACAUAUAUUACAAUAUUUUGAUUACAGAAGGAGAAGCAACUAAAAACUACUAACAGGCCUCAGAAACAAGGUCAAACUGGUUUAUAUUAUAUAAUAGAAAUAGAAUACUGUUUUUAUGAGUAUAUAUUAUAGGUAUUACUUAACACUUUCACUAUCACCGUUUAAGGAAAAAGUCACUGUUCACAGCUCAACAUUCAAAAUUUUUAAAUCUUACAUAAUGUGACAUAUAUUUUUACAUAUAUAGUAAUAAAACCUGCUAAGUAGACAACACGAUUCUUAGAAUCGCACACAUAUGUGUAACGCUGAGCUGUGAGUAGAUUGCUUCUUACUGCAAACUACUUGUCACACAUAUCUAGAUAUGUAAGGUAAUGUAUUGUUACCUACUUAACGCACACGAUGCUACUGAGGCAAAGUCGUCGUCAACGAGUUUCGACGACGGAUUUAACAAGGGCGGAAACCUCCAUGUUUACAUUUCUCUGUCGACCGUUCGAGCGAUUUACGAGUGUUGUGUUACAGUGUCUCAUGUUAUACGUGUGACUAUUUGCACAAAAUCUGAUAUUCUAUGUGUUCCAAACAAUUUUAUGUACAAUCUUUGUCAAUCGAGAAGAAAAAUUUAAAAUAAGUGAAAACAAUGUGUUGCAAUGUCAGAUUAGUGAUAAUUUGGCGUUGUUUAUAAUAAAUAGAAAUGGUAUCUCAAACGAAAAAAUAAGAUUUAUCCUAAAGACAAUUGAAACACAAUAUACAUGCGGUCACGAGAAUAUUGGCACACUGUUAAAGAGUGAAUAACUUUUUUAAAUUGGAUCAAACGACUCGAGCCUUUUUGAGAAGUUAGGAGGAUUAUUUUACUAGAUGAUGUGGCAAAAGAUUCUUGAAAAAAUUGCAGUUGAUCGGAAUCGCAAAGGAAAUAGUGAAGAUAAUUUCUUACAAAUUUUAUCUGAAUUUCUAAGGAAAAUUUGUAUAUAGUAUAAACAUGUAAUCUAUCACAUAUGUGUGACGAGUACACAUAUAUGUAGCGAGAAGGUAAAUAAUAAAGUAAAUAAAUAAAGUAAAUAAUAUGUUAAUUAGGCUGUAUGGAGGAGUUCAACAGCUGCGAUGAUGGAAAUUUGGAGGAUGCGGGGAAUGUAAAUUUGGAGGAGAUUACAAAAGAAGACUUAUGAUAUUUAACGUCAUGAUGAAGAAUAUAAUGAAAUAUGGGGGACAGAAGAAAGAAGAGAAGUGGAAGCAGUAUAAGAAAGGUAUCUAAGAGCAGUAUUAGUGACUGGAGAGGUGCACACCUACAGUAGGAUAUUUAGACAAGAAACGAAGACGGAGAAAAUACCUCUGGGGUCAGGAGAAAGGUACAUAAAAUAUGAAGAUAUGAAGAAGAGAUUAGAAGAUCAGAAAACUCACUACUUGAGGAGUGCAGAAGGGUCAUUGAUAGGGAAAAAUGAAAUAACAUGAGCCAUAGAAUGGCAAGAGAGAAAUUUAGAGGAAAAUAGGAACGAACAGAUGGGAAAUGGAAAACAGAAAUAACCUUUCGUUUAUUACAUAUACAUGUAAGUGUGAUUUAAACUAUAUCAUGUUUAGUCUCAUUUUAAUCAGAAGAAUGUCGCAAAUGCGUGGGUAAAAGAUUAAAUUCGAGAAAAUCGAAGAUAAACAAGUUCCAUCAUCGUCUCAUGGAUAGUUAGUGAUUUUUCAUAGACGAUUGAAUACAAUAGAUCAGGUUACGCUACUCAAACGUCGAGCUCCGUGUUGUGUUGAAGAGAACAACAUUAGAAUCGAUGACGGCCUAUCAAUUAGGACGAAAGAAAGUAUGUACUUACGAGAGGAAAGGAAAGUCAAGAAGAUAAAGAUAACAAAGUUAGGUUCGGAUUAGGGAACGAAUGGAGGAUGAGUAAAUUCCAGAUGAGGAGAAGAAGGAAUGCGGUAUAUGUGAGAAGGAGGAGGGAAUAGGAGAACACGUUAUAGCGCGAUGUGAAUAUACAACAGUGGGUGAACGAACAGAAAUUCUUAUCGAAUAAGAGGCUAAUGGAAUAGGAUGGAUGAAGAAGGUGACGGAUAAAAGGGGAUGAGUAAAUGAAUCCCAACAGAGAACAGGAGCUUAUAGCACAUUUUGGUCAACAUUGGGUGAACAGUAUAAUAUGAUUCUAAGGUCACUGUAGAUUAUUUUACUGCACGCAGAUUAUAGAUUACAUGGCAGUAAGGGAAGAUGACGUAAUGUUGAAAACAAGAAGCGUGUUAGGCGUUUGGAAUUUUUUUUUACCAUUGUUCAUCGUCGUCCUUAACGACUUCGCUUCGUUGUAAUAAAUACUGAAAUAAAAUAUAUUAUUACGACGUAGUAUAACCUACAAACCGAUUUAUCUCGAAAUGUGCUAAAUGUGCUCUAGACCUGUAUUACCGGUUGGUAUUCAAAUAUUGGAGAUAUACAGAUGUUUACUGAUGCAAAAUAAAUGAGAUAUAAAAUGGAAUUAUGUAGGAUAUUUAGGAUGCGAUUACACGUAAUAAUAUGCAAGAGCGAUUCAAUGUAUGCCGGGAGGGAUUUGAAAUGAAAAAUAAGCGUAAUGUAAAAUGGGAAUAAGUAGAGCUUCCUUAUCCAGAACACAGCAUUUUCCAGUAACGAAUGAUUUUUCUCUUUCAAAUAUGUACAUAUUUUAUUAUUGCCCAUACAAAACGUAUUUUUUCCCUUAAAUCGAUCAAAUGGAUUUUGAUUAAAAGAACUUAGUACGAAAGCAAUAUCGUUCUAUCUGUCGAGACAAAAUACGACAUAUUUAAAAACCUCGAAGCUGCCGUAGGUGCAACAGAACUGGCAUAUGUACAUGAUGCUGGGAAAAUUACAAUCGCGAAUAUUAAAAAACAAAAAUAUGAUACUGAUCUCAAUUAUUUGAAGCACGUAGAUCCUUCGAGUGCUGGCAACAGUAGGAAAAUCUUAAAUAUAUUGAUGCAAUGAGAUGGUUUCGUUACGAUAACGACGAUAUCUUCUCAUACCGAUGCAUUCGUGGCAUUCGAAAAGAAGCUUCGAACGUUCGAAGUAGACAAAGAACGUGGCUCUAUGAAGUUCCUUAUGUUGAUUGAAUUAUGAUUAAUAAUAUAAAAUAUACUAAAUAUAAUAAAAGGUAAUAAGGAUUCUUAAAGAUUCAAUUGAUCCUAAUUUGUAUUUGAAUAAGUGAAAUUUCAUAUGAGAAAAAUAAUUGUUCCAUUAUCCAAAUAUUUCAUGAUUCGAACAGUUUCGUCUUGCUGUUCCUUCGGAUAAGGAAGGUUCCUACUUCGUAAUUACCAACAAAUGUCCAUCCAAUUUCAAAGUUUUAGUGGGCCAGAUGUUCAACACACUAAAUAAAUAUUACUACUACUACUACUACUACUACUACUACUACUACUAGUACUACUAUAUUACAGUACCUGAGUAAUAUUAAUUCUGAAAAGAGGUGGAUAGAUAUCUGGAAUACAAUUUUUUGAAUUUCUUAACUAUAGUCCGAUAACGAUUAAAAAAUAAAGCGUGGAACAAAUAAUUUCUUCGUAAUGUUUCUGUCGGCUGAACGUGAUAAAUAACGAAUGAUUACUGAUAAAAAUUAUGUAUAUCAUUGUUUUUACAAUUAGUCAGCUGAUUAAUCUUUUGUUGCCAUAGUAUUACAAGAUUUAGAUGUUUCUCCAACUGCAAUCAAUUACCAAACUUAAUGGGACAAGUAAUCCGUCCAGUUUAUUAAUCUCAGCAUUUAUUCGCAGCGAGUAUUUGAUAAGUAGAAGAUAAGGAACGUCAAAGAAAUCUCUUAACCUUUCAAAGUCACCUUCAAAUUCUUCGAACAGAAUUCUUAAUUUCGUAUUAUAAAAAAUUAUUAAUUUCGUAUUUUCCUAAUAACUUUUCCCUCAUUUCCAACGAUUUCGUAUUUAAUUUAAAUUUCCUAUUGGAACAAAACUCGCUUAUUUUCCAAUGCAGUGCUUUUCGAAAGAUCACAUCCGCGAAAUUUUUCUACCCUAAUUGCGGCAGAGUAUUUUCAUUUCCUGUAUAUGUCAAUUAUGCCUAAUCACAUAUUUCUGAAAUACUAAGCUUGUAAAAAUACUAAAAUACAAAAAAAGAGAAAAAGAAAAAUGUUAUUCCCAGUCAAACCGACAACCUUCGAUUAACAUUCUUUUAAUGAUACAUAAUUAGUUUUUAAUCAAAAGAAAUUUCUUUUCAAGUUUCUCCUGGACUAUGUUAAUUUCGUUAUCGAUGAUCUGUACAGAGUGAUACUCGUAUCUGGAGGGAUCUUGAAUAUCGCUUGAUACAUCCUCCGUUUCACUGAUCGUACUCCAUCAACGAAUUCCGAACAGAGAAAUUAAAGCGGCGACGAAACGAAGGCAAAUGAAAGUAGACCAUCAUCGAUUUAAAAACGACAAGAUGCAAACAUGCAUCCGAUACAUGAAAGUAACGUGACUUCCUCAGUCGUUAAGAAAGAAAACUUUCGCGAUACGAAUAUCGGCCUGCUUGUUCCUAAAACGAAUCUAUUUUGAAUGGUAUAUGCGUAUACGGUUACUGACAUUAAUAUUUGGACAUUCUUUCAAACAGAAUAACAUCUUUUACAAUUCAACCAGACGACUUUUUUUUUUUUUUUUUUUUUUUUUAGGAAAGGGGAAUUUUAUUAAUAUAAAGAGAAGAUUAGUUUACCAGGUGUAACAAGAAUUUUGAAAUGACACUAGUAGCUUAAAUGCUACUGCAAGCAUAUAUUUUUUAAAUAUACUUGCAUUAAUAUUCGAAGUCUUUCUAUCAGAUUAGAAAAAAUUUUCUUUUUUAAUUCGAUUUAUAAUUAAAAGAUCAAGGAAUCUGUAGAUGUGCUUAUCGCUGAAUAAAACGGUUCUAGGUUUGAUAAUUACAAAUAUCAAUUUCAUAAUUUCGUAUUGUACGAAGGAAAAAGAAGAAAGGAAGAGAAAAGAAAGAGAAGAAAAAUGUAAUCACAUGGCAAUAUCCUAUCACAUGUAAGAAAUAAUAAAGAUUGUAAAGAAUAAAAUUGCCGCGGUUUGACUCGUCUAUGACGUUGUAAUUAACGUGCACCUUAUCAAGUGCGAGAAGAUAUUCGGAUACCUUUCAGAGAGUGAAGUGUAUCUAUAUAAAGAAUGACAAAUCUAAAAUUGAACUAAACUACCAUUAAGAGACAUUCAGGAAGCCAUCGUUCUAUAUAUAUAAUGCUAUCGUUUACAUUUCGCAUUCGUCCCCGUCACUUUUUCGUAUUUAGAGAGAUGUCUCUCUAGUCGAGCUAUUAAUAUCCAAUUUCGUAAAUGGCGAGGUCGACUAAUCGAUAUUAUAAAGCGGAGCUUCCUCGGCUACGGGUCGUGACCCCAUGUGGGGUCGUGUAACAAAAUUAUGGGGCAGCGGAAAUUUUUGCAACUGCCACACACCAGAGGAAUAAAAAUGUCGAUGACCUGUCAGCAAAGGAUGAAGAAGAAUUUACCGAGUUGUUAAUCGAUAUGGAUAUAAAACAGCAGCUUUUUAACAAAUCGUUUAAAUGAAUUUUUGCUUAGAAUUAGAACAGAAUUUUCAACAAUUUUUAAAAUGAUCUUGAACACGCUUAUGAUAUUUUAUAUCACAUAUGUGAAAAUGUGACUCAACAACUCUGUUUAAAUAAUAUCUGAUGGGUGGACAAUAUAUA